GCAGAGGAGUGGAUUCUGAUUUGAGGCUAUGAGAAGAGCUAGAGAGAGAGAGAGAAUGGGGGAUUCUCAUUUUGGACUGUGAGAAAAAAAGAGGAGUAGAGAGAAAAGGGAGGUAUUUUUAGCGAUGAGGUUUGUCCAGAGAGGAGGAUCUAGGCAGAGCAGAGGAAGAAAACUGAGAAGAGGGAAAGUUUAGAGAGCAGAGGCGUGAGCGGUUUGAGAGAGUUUUUGGAGAGAAGCCAAAGCUGUUUUCAGGAAGAAUGAGCUGAUCGAAGGAGGAAGAAAAGAGUGCUGGAAGACAGACAAAUUGUUACCGUAGAGGAAAGCUAGAGCAGGGAACGUUAGUUUGAGAUAAGGAUAAGAGAAAGCAAGAAAAGCUGUGACAAAAGAGAGUUGGAGCAGAGUUAGGUAGUGCGGGGAAGCUAGACAAAAAUCUUGCUCGAGAGGACGCUUCCUAGUUGAUGCAUGGCUUCAUCCUUGGACUUGACAUAUAAGAAUCAUGCUUGUGUUCUUUGUUAAUCCCACCUGUUCUUUGCCCAUGGAUGUCACCUGAAAUGAGGCUUUCUACAUUCAUUUUUUACUUGAUUUCCUUUUGCUAUUUCUUCCGUUCUUGUCCUGUUUUUUUUUUUUUUUUUCUUAUUCCCAUGUUUCUGGUAAGUUCGUGGUGUUGAGUACCUCAUUUGGGUUGACCAUUUUGAUUGAGGUGCUUUUGAGAGAGCCCCAUACGAGCCACCUUACAUACCGUUAGAAAUUUCUGGAUGUCUGUAAGCCGUAUGGACCACACUGAAACGCCUAGAGAUGCAAUGGAGGAGUACAAUUGAGGAUGAGGAAAUUUCUACUCGAUGCUGGAUAUGGGUGAGGCAACCAUGUAGAAUGGGGUACUGCAGACUAUGAAUCUUCCUCGGUGGGCAUGGGUGGUUUAAUUUUCCUCGUGCACUAUGGUCACAGUAUUUGUAAGCCUUCAAGGUGGUCAGAAUGUUGACUUUCUUGAUCCUGUGCAUAUGUCACGCACCAAAUUCUGUUUACAAGGCCUAGUUACAAGAUGGCGUCUAGAAGAUGUAUGCACGGAUAAUCUCUCGGAUAGGCUUCACAUAAGUCAAGGCUCAUGGAAUGCAGAAUAUCUGGGUUUGUUUCAUUAAUGAGCCCAGGUGAUAACACUUGGCAUGCUGACUUGAUUCAGUAGAAUGAUGGAAAGGCCAGUCUUUGUGAGAGAUUAUUGCAUAGAAUAUGAAGACUCCUUGAUAUUUAGAUAUGGUGGCAAUUUGUAUUUCACAGUGCAAGCUUUUGAUUGAAGUUCACAAGGGAAAGAAGCUGCGUCUCAUGCUAAAUGCAGCCAAAUCCCGGGAGAUCAGCCCACCUCUUCAAGGAGAAGCAGGCCUAUUGACAUGCAGUAGGAACCAACAGUAAGUUCCAAUACAGAAAACCCACUCUUGAAUUGGCACAUGCUGGCCCAGUUCAAAACCGUCCUUGUCCCACGGUUAGAAUUGCAUCACUCCCAGCACCUGUCCUACCUCCGGCCCAAAUUUUGCAUGGCCAUGCGUAGCCACCUUGGUUACAUGCUCCUCGAACAUCCCUUCCAUGGCCAAACUUCAAGUUGGUUAUUUG